rnacentral:rRNA from 1 species
UACGUAGGGGCAGGCGUUGUCCGGAAUCAUUGGGCGUAAAGCGCACGUAGGCGGCUUUCUAAGUCGGGGUGAAAUCCUGGAGCUCAACUCCAGAACUGCCUUCGAUACUGGAAAGCUCGAGUCCGGGAGAGGUGAGUGGAACUGCGAGUGUAGAGGUGAAAUUCGUAGAUAUUCGGAAGAACACCAGUGGCGAAGGCGACUCGCUGGACAGACAUUGACGCUGAGGUGCGAAAGCGUGGGGAG